UACGGAGGGAGCUAGCGUUGUUCGGAAUUACUGGGCGUAAAGAGUACGUAGGCGGUGAUUCAAGUCAGAGGUGAAAGCCUGGAGCUCAACUCCAGAACUGCCUUUGAAACUAGAUCGCUAGAAUUAUGGAGAGGUUAGUGGAAUUCCGAGUGUAGAGGUGAAAUUCGUAGAUAUUCGGAAGAACACCAGUGGCGAAGGCGACUAACUGGACAUAUAUUGACGCUGAGGUACGAAAGCGUGGGGAGCAAACAGG
rnacentral:rRNA from 2 species